CCAACUCCAUGUUCUCCUAGACUGGCAUAUCCCCCGCCAGAGCCCCCGCCAUCACCGCCACCUCCUCCGCCACCAUGCUCCCCACCUCCAUAUCCAGCACCACCACCGCUUCCUCCGCCAACUCCAUAUCCACCUCCAUGCUCUCCUACACCGGCAUAUCCGCCGCCGGAUCCACCGCCAUUACCGCCACCUCCACCACCACCAUGCUCCCCG
rnacentral:misc_RNA from 1 species